UUAACAACAUUAGCAGAGGUAGAAAUGUAAAUGAGUAUACUUCCUCAUCUUCCUAUUCCCAUAACAGGGAAUCAAUCAAUGGAUAUCAAAAUUGACAAAUAGAGAUAUAGGCAUAUUAAUUAGAAUUAUGUUAGAACAAAGGAACUGGGAAGGAAGGUUUUAUAGGUUGUUAACAUUUGGAGUAUGGAAAUGGAGUGGGAUGAACAGAAAACAUUUAAACCUAAUUCCAUUUUU